rnacentral:rRNA from 1 species
GCCCAGCACUGAAGCCCGUGGUCGGAAACGGCUACUGGGCAAUGUAGUGUUUAGGAGAGCCCGUUUAACCCGAGUAUUAUUAGCGCGUCAAAGUCCUUCUUGAAGGGGGCCAUACACCCAUAGAGGGUGCCAGGCCCGUAGCGACCGUUAGUAUGUUCGGGUGGGUUUCUCCUUAGAGUCGGGUUGCUUGAGAGUGCAGCUCUAAGUGGGUGGUAAACUCCAUCUAAGGCUAAAUAUAACCACGAGACCGAUAGCGAACAAGUACCGUGAGGGAAAGUUGAAAAGAACUUUGAAGAGAGAGUUCAAUAGUACGUGAAACCGUUCAGGGGUAAACCUGAGAAACCCGAAAGUUCGAAAGGGGAGAUUCAAUUGCCUUUCCGUUAGUGUACAUUAGUGCAGUAUUUGGGACGUAUAUGGUGCAUGUUUAACUCUUCGGAUUAUUCACGUUUAUUAUAUACGCUCUGCUGUCUAUUGUUAUAUCAUUAUCGGAGGCAUGCACUUCUUUCCUAGUAGGACGUCGCGACCCGUUGAGCAAUGCCAUAUACGGACCUAUGGUGUAAGCCCGUUUAAUAUACUUAAUUUAAAAAGAGUAUGUUCUACGGACCCAUUGUUUGUCCUUAUGGCUGCCCGACGGUAAUAGCACAGGUAUUGGGGCGUCUUUAUGUUUAUCGUUACACACGAGAACACAUUGACGUGCGUUAUGUGUACAUAGCAAGUUUUAAUAUGUUUUUUUGUAGAGUACCGAAGUUUACCUUCGGCUCUGCGCAUAUUAUACUGUUAGCUAUGUGGUCCUCUGACCGCUCCCGUUACCAGUCGGCGACGAUUAAGUUUUGGGUAAUCUCAGGACCCGUCUUGAAACACGGACCAAGGAGUCUAGCAUGUGCGCGAGUCAUUGGGUAAUUGUUUUCAAAUGAUUAUACCUAAAGGCGCAAUGAAAGUGAAUGUUUAACUUGUUUAAACAGAGGGAAGAUGGGUGGCUAAAUAGAAAGUUACCCCGCAUUCCCGGGGCGUCGCGCA